CUCAUUCCAUGGAAUCAACAUUUAAACCUUUAAAUCAACGCAUUUCAUUUGAAAUGAAUCCUCACUCAAUGCAUUACAUUCAUGCAUGUCAUAUGUUUAACAGCCACGGUUUAGAUCGUGCCCACGGUUGGGGGCCAUGGUUGCACCAAUUGUCCCAACUUCAUACUUAGCCCUUUCAAGUAUCUUGGGUCAAUAAUAUAAGAAAAUGAGGAGAUUGAUAAUGAUGUUACACAUCGUAUUGGAGGAGGGUGGCCGAGAUGGUCGCAUAUGAUGUCUCGCAUAAUAAGAAUGUGAUACCAAGACUUAAAAUACUAAAUUGGUGCCCCGACGAAUCCACAUUCGAGUCGCAUAAGGCCCAGGUGAACAUUUCUCAUCAGGAGUUUUAUAUACUUAGAGUUUGAAUUCGAAACUCAUGAUAAUCUACAUAUUAAUAAAUAAUUAUCAUGUUGGUUAAUAUUUGUGGUGUAUGUAUGAUUUAAAAAAUCAAAUUCUAAUGUCAUUUUCUGAUUUGAUAUGUAAUAACGGAAUUAAAUUAGUCAAGUAAACAAGAGGGUUUUUAAAUAGAUAUGCACUAAUACAAAUAUUAUGUAAAUGUGCAUGUAUGUGUACACUGUCAUGAAAAGUAGUUUUCUUGGGAUGCACCAAGUGUGGACAAAGUAAUAUUUCUCUCUAGUGAGAGUCA